UUUCAUUGACAGAGUGCGUAACCUAAGUACCAUCCGAAAUAAACGUCAACAAGAUCAGCUCAUUCAUCACCACCUCAGUAAAAACGACUAUCCCCACACGCUCAUCAAUCGACUCCUACAUCAACCACCACGCAUCGAGACCCCGGAUAAACCCACUAUCUUCAGAUCCAUCCCAUUCAUCCAAGGCUUAACACCAAACAUCAAACACAUCCUUCUCAACAGUGGCUUGAAUAUUGGUAUCUCACACAGCAACUGCAACACAGUAGGACAUCUUUACAAAAAUGCGAAGGAUCCGGUAUCAGAGCUCAACAAAAGCAACGUCAUCUACAGGAUUGACUGUACGAAUUGCCCUAGUAAAUAUAUCGGUAUGACGACCAAUAAGCUCAGAACCCGAAUGUACGGACACCAAUCCAACAUCAACAAAUUGGACAAACAGCUGUUGGAAGGAUACCAAUACACAGACCCAGAAGUACUACAACUCCAAGAGAAAUCAGCCCUGAUUAACCACUGCAUCACCCAUCAACACCGCUUCAACAUCCAAAAUCCCACAAUCGUCGAUAAAUCCUACAAGAAGCAAGCUCUGCAAGUGUUAGAGAUGUGUCAUAUUGCCACUACCUCUAACACGGUCAACCAUCGGACGGACACCGACAACCUAAGCUGUGCGUACGCAAAUCUUCUCUUCACGAUCAAAACACAGAGAGAAGAGAGAAAUGCGUCGUCAAUAAACCAAGAUUAUCGACACGACCCACAUGACUUAACAACAACACAACCCACACAAACAUACUUGACCACCCCAUUACCACCCUAAACCACGAACACCCGACAGCGAUAUUAUUAUAGUUCAGCAACUGCCAACAGCUGGUCAUGGUAGAAGUGUAUCGUAGUGACUUACUGUGUAGUGCCCAUCCUGUUCUUCACCACCCACCCAUCUUGUUUAUGGUGCUGGGACAAAUGAACCUAGUGCAGUUUACCCCAACCCACCUGACAGUCCAUCGUGUGACCCACACUUCAAUAGACAGGUUGAUUAAUCUCGAGCCCUGAUGAAGAUCCAAACCCCCGGAUCGAAACGUUGGCAAUGAUUUGAAAUUAUCAACAUUUUCAUGUGACUGAAAGCCGAAAAUCCUGAAAAUUAG